CUUUAUAUACAUACACAUAAUUACAAUAGAAUAAAUUUAGGGUUAAUAUUAAAACAUACCCAAUUUCAUAUACCAAAAACAAAUACCCACUAUUAUAAAAAUAUAUAAAAACUACUCACUUUUUGUAUGAAAAUACAUCUUUAUCCUUAAUGAAUAAAAGAAACAAAAAUAAAACUACCGAUCAUCUUCCCUACGUUUUCAUCUUCCCACUCACGCAAAAAAAAAAAAAACAUGCCAUCUUCCAUACAAACUCAGAAAAUGAUUGAAUUACGAAUCUUCCCCUUAACUGCUUUCUCCUUAAUCAGAUCCAAACUCGGCUUUCACCCUUCUCCGAAAUCUGCCUGCUUAGAACUC
rnacentral:lncRNA from 1 species